GGAUGCGAUCAUACCAGCACUAAAGCAUCGGAUCCCAUCAGAGUGCUUGGGCGAGAGUAGCACUAGGAUGGGUGACCUCCUGGGAAGUCCUCGUGUUGCAUUCC
rnacentral:rRNA from 1 species